UACAGAGGUCUCAAGCGUUGUUCGGAUUCAUUGGGCGUAAAGGGUGCGUAGGUGGCGCCGUAAGUCAGGUGUGAAAUUUCGGAGCUUAACUCCGAAACUGCAUUUGAUACUGCGGUGCUUGAGGACUGGAGAGGAGAGCUGGAAUUUACGGUGUAGCAGUGAAAUGCGUAGAGAUCGUAAGGAAGACCAGGUGGCGAAGGCGGGUCUCUGGA
rnacentral:rRNA from 1 species